CAUUUUUAUCCCAAAUGACAUAAGCCUCGAUAUCGGUAAAAUGACGUAGAAGUUGACGUCACUUAAUUAGAUAACUGUUUUCAUUAAUUUGUUUUUAAAACAACAGCCAUUAGUGUUAAAAUCAAUGAUAUCGGACGAAGAUUGUUAAGUUUAAACGUUUCAUCAUUUAGUUAUCGCACUAGACUGGUACUUUGUGAAUUAUCACAAAUAAUGAGUGAAUUAGCGAAUUGUUUCCCUUUGAAAUCUACACGCCAUUAACGGUGUAUACAUGUGUGAAACUGGGUCAGAGAAAACAUGCAGUUAUUGCUCUGAAUAUACGCGGAUAUUUAAAGUGCAUGGCGGAUUUAUUGGUUGUUAUGGUAAGUGUUUAUUUUCAUCAUAAAUUUAUCCGUAACUUAAGUAAAGAAAAGAAUGAAGAGACCGCUUCUUUUGUUGAUGUAUCGAAGAUACAACUUGGCAGCGAAAAAUGACCGUGUUGACAUUUCGAUUUGACUGUCUGCGCAGCUGUCAAGUACUUUUAAUAUUUUUUUUUCUGUAUAUUUGUAUAUUUUCGUGAUGGCAGAAUAAACUUGUAGCCAAGACAGUCAGGCAUCUACUAUAUUAAGUAUAUUCUGUAUGAAAUUUUCUGUCUAGAAAUUGUAAAUGAACAGGAAUAUUGUACAUCUUUUUAACUGUCAGUCACAGAUGUGAACUGGUGAAUAAUUACAUGGUCAUUAUGCACAUACAGUAGAAUCUAUGACAAUUGGAAAAGAAAAGUAGAAUCUACAAUAACACAGGAAAAGUGGUGUUUUAAAUUGUCACUUUUUGUUGUAAUAUCAACUAAAAUAGACCUCCUGAAAAUUUCUAAAAUAUUCUACAUGCAAGUUACAAUAUUUAAAAACUACUUUUUUCACUCUCACUACUGUCAGUACUUGCAGACAGCAUACUGGUAGGUUAGUAAAUAAAUGAAAAAAAAAAUUGUUUAUAUUUUUCAGGACAACCUCCAGCAGUAUGAGAUAUAAAUGUUCACUGCAGUUUUGACAAUGCCCAUCAAGUGGAGUUGCUGUGAGUUCUCAUGCAGUGUAUGAAAAGUACAGUACUGCUGUUGGAAGAGGAGCAGUGUGGUAUCUAUGGUCCACCAUCACUUCAAGCAUUAUGACUGUGGAUAAAAGAAGGUUUCAUUACAUAGGACAACUAUAUUGGACAAAAUAAGAAGUGUUCUAAUCAGUUCUGGAAUGUGGCUUGUUAUGAUGGGUCUACAUGAUUGACUUGGAGUACAACCUGAU
rnacentral:lncRNA from 1 species